rnacentral:rRNA from 1 species
UACGGGAGGCAGCAGUAGGGAAUCUUCCGCAAUGGGCGAAAGCCUGACGGAGCAACGCCGCGUGAGUGAUGAAGGUCUUCGGAUCGUAAAACUCUGUUAUUAGGGAAGAACAAACGUGUAAGUAACUGUGCACGUCUUGACGGUACCUAAUCAGAAAGCCACGGCUAAAUACGUGCCCGCAGCCGCGGUAAUACGUAGGGGGCAAGCGUUAUCCGGAAUUUUUGGGCGUAAAGCGCGCGUAGGGGGUUUUUUAAGUUUGAUGUGAAAGCCCACGGCUCAACCGUGGAGGGUCAUUGGAAACUGGAAAACUUGAGUGCAGAAGAGGAAAGUGGAAUUCCAUGUGUAGCGGUGAAAUGCGCAGAGAUAUGGAGGAACACCAGUGGCGAAGGCGACUUUCUGGUCUGUAACUGACGCUGAGGUGCGAAAGCGUGGGGAUCAAACAGGAUUAGAUACCCUGGUAGUCCACGCCGUAAACGAUGAGUGCUAAGUGUUAGGGGGUUUCCGCCCCUUAGUGCUGCAGCUAACGCAUUAAGCACUCCGCCUGGG